CAGUAAAAACAGGACAUUAUAUUCAUUGUGAAUUGUUGUCAUUGUACAGAAAGACAGAAAUCCAAAGUGAGCAUUAAACCUGAUCAACAUGUAUUCAGAGGAGAGACAGUCACUCUCAGAUGUGACAUUGAUGGUGAAAGAGUCACUAACUGGAAGUACAGCUGGAAUAAAGACGGUUCAGACAGUGUUUUCAGUGAACUACAGGAACACACAUUCAGUUCUGUUACUGAGUCUGACGCAGGUAAAUACUCCUGUUAUGGAGCAAAGAGAGGAGGAUCACGAACAUCACACAUCAGUGAUGAAGUUACACUUACAGUAUCAGAUAAACCCAGACUAGUUUUAAGUGUUGCUCCACAGAAGUGGUUGACUGAAGGAGAUCCAGUGACUCUGAUCUGUGAGGUUAAAGACUCCUCUACAGGCUGGACAUUCAACUGGUUUACUGUUACUGUUUCAUCAGACUACAGGAAUCGUCAUAAGCUGCUCUCAGACAGCAGCAGAGGAGCUGGAGGAAACUACACGGUCAGUUCUGCUGCUCUGAAUCACACAGGAGUUUAUGUGUGCAGCGCAGAGAGAGGAAAACCAGUCUAUAGCACAUGGAACAGCAACAAACAACCACUAUGGGUCACUGGUGUUUCUCCUCCAGUCUCUCUGAUCAUCAGUCCCAGCAGAACUCAACACUUCACAUCUGUCUCUCUCUCUCUGAGCUGUGAGGACCAGAGUAACUCUGAUAGAUGGACAGUGAGAAGAUACACAGACAAUGAGCAACUG